UUAACGAUCAAGUACCGCAGAAAUGAUUUUGGUUGACUGUUAAACAAAGAAAAUAAGCGGUCCACUGGCUCUUCUUACUCCUAUAAAUAAUCCAGCACAUGCAUGACAUAUUCACUCAUCCUUCUCUUCAACUAUCUCCCCUCUCCAUAUACCGAAUAAAUCCAUAGCACUACAGUCAUGGCAACAAGACUUCUCUUUGCUUCCGUACCCAAAGCCCACCCGAAGAGUAGCAAACCAUCACAACACCGCACUCCAUUUUCUGCAGUUGCAGCAUCCCGUUUUCUACAGAUCUCAAGACUUCAUGCUUCUAAAACUCUCGAGACAAUAUACGAAGAAGAAAUGACCACAUGCAGUGAAAGCAGAGAUGGUGUUGCAGAUGUAUUUACAAAUGCUUCACCUUUGCCUUCGGUUUCUGCCUCUUUUUUGCUAUCUAGCAGGUCGACAUGCUUAGUUAAAAUGCAGAAACACUUAUCGAAGAACUCUCACAACUUCCGAUGUGCUUAUGGUAGUAAUUAGUAUUCAUUUCUAUUGUUUGGUUAUAUUUAAAGGAUAUACGUUGGAAAAGUUAGAGUAUGUUGAAGAAGGAUAUCAAGAACUAUGGAAGGGUAAAUAUUGCUUGGGUCGUUAAGGUGGUGUUGUCAAUUUUAGCUUUGUGGCUUCACUCCUUGUUGGUCUUGCAUCGUUGGUCAUCCUGCUGAGGGGUUAUUUCAGGGAUCUCAUCAUAUGACUAUUUUGUUUAGAAACCCUUCUUGGAGCUAUGUUUGGGGGAAUAGCUUUUUGGUUCCCUAGACUUUUUUUUUUUUUUCGUGUCUUCUAUUUUAGUUUCGUGCAGUCGCUUCUUCUAUAUAUAUAAUUUGUAAUCUUAUGCAACAAAGUCGGAUUUUCUAAGUGUCAUUUCCUUGUAUUGGUGGAUGCACAACCUUUUCGAUCUCUAGGGUAUAAUGGAAGUUUAUUGUUGUAAACGUGAAUUUCUUAUAAGACAAUCAUGCAGUCAGUCAUGCUCUUGAUUAUUUUCCCUUUUCAUUUUCUGGUUCUUUCUGUUCAUUGAUGGCAUCCCACCAAAUAUACUAUUUUGUUAACCAUGUAAUUUUCAUCAUAAAAGAUAACAAAUAAUGUAAUAAUGAAGACGUGAAUUAGUUAAAAAUAAUAUUGAAAUAGAACAAUCAUUUUUGUUUUUAACUAAUCACUUACUCCACUCAAUAUAACAAUUCAAAGAGUGAAAGCAACUUUUACCUUUCAUUUACUAUUUAUAUAAUUUAUUUAUUUUGGUGUUGAAUUAGAUUUUUCUUAAAAAGAUCGGUCUUCACAUAACCAUGUCCUAGAGGCCAGGGAGAUGUUUGAGGUGAAACCGACUAAGAGCUAGACGUUUCAUGUUUGAGUUGUGGAUGUUCGAAGACCUAUAGAUCACAAAGAGAUCCGAUAGCAUCUCAAGAUUACGUUCUGAGGCAAGUUAGGGGGUAUUACUCAAGAGAGUAAAUGAGAACUUUAAAGAGAAUUUGGUAGUGAGAUGUUACUUGGUGAUCUCUUAUAUGUAAGAGGUGACCCUGGGUGGCGCGAUCUCUUAGUAGAAUUAGGCAAGACUCUUUUGGCUUCAUCGUGCGGGUUUCGAAAUCGAUUGUUGUUGUGGUUGCUCAACCAUGAUAUAAGGUGAGAUUAUCCAUACUGGAGUAAGGGUUUGGUAUAGCCAAAUGCUAAGUCUCCUUCCAAUUUGGUAGGCAUAGCGAGAUCCUUUGGCCAACAUUCGAUUAUCGUACUUAUCUUAUCCUGAUAGACACAAUGAUUUUUUGUUAACCGACUAGUUGUUUUUAGUGUUAUCGAUGCUAAACAUGUGCCACAUGCAUGUGUUAAUUAUCGUAAUAAGAGAUUAUGUUUUCUUGA